rnacentral:rRNA from 1 species
GACGAACGCUGGCGGCGUGCUUAACACAUGCAAGUCGAACGGAAAGGCCCUGCUUUUGUGGGGUGCUCGAGUGGCGAACGGGUGAGUAACACGUGAGUAACCUGCCCUUGACUUUGGGAUAACUUCAGGAAACUGGGGCUAAUACCGGAUAGGAGCUCCUGCUGCAUGGUGGGGGUUGGAAAGUUUCGGCGGUUGGGGAUGGACUCGCGGCUUAUCAGCUUGUUGGUGGGGUAGUGGCUUACCAAGGCUUUGACGGGUAACCGGCCUGAGAGGGUGACCGGCCAAAUGGGGAAUGGUAUACGGCCCAGCCUCCCACGGGGGGCAGCGGGGGGGAUAAUUGCACAAGGGGCGGAAGCCUGAUGACGCAACCCCGGGGGGGGGAGGAGGGCUUUCGGGUUUUAAACCCCUUUCCCCUGGGACGAAGCUGGAGGGAGGGUAAUGGGGAAAGAAGCCCCGGCAAAUCACGU